GGAUUAGAUACCCUGGUAGUCCACGCUGUAAACGAUGUGCACUAGUUGUCGGCUGUUGUCAACGGUCAGGUUCCGAAGCAAACGCGAUAAGUGCACCGCAUGGGGAGUAUGCUCGCAAGGGUGAAACUCAAAGGAAUUGACGGGGGCCCGCACAAGCGGUGGAGCAUGUGGUUAAAUUAGAUGAUGCGCGAGGAACCUUACCAGGGCUUGACAUAUGGUGGACUGCUGCAGAGAUGUAGCUUCCCUUCGGGGCUGCCAUACAGGUGCUGCAUGGUUGUCGUCAGCUCGUGCUGUGAGAUGUUGGGUUAAGUCCCGCAACGAGCGCAACCCCUGCUGUCUGUUGCCAGCAUUUCGGAUGGGGACUCAGACGGUACUGCCGGUGACAAACCGGAGGAAGGUGGGGAUGACGUCUAAAUCAUCAUGGCCCUUAUGUCCUGGGCUACACACGUGCUACAAUGGCCGGUACAGAGCGUAGCGAAACCGCGAGGUGGAGCAAAUCGCAGAAAGCCGGUCUCAGUACGGAUUGGAGUCUGAAACCCGACUUCAUGAAGUUGGAAUCGCUAGUAAUCGCGCAUCAGCAUGGCGCGGUGAAUACGUUCCCGGGCCUUGUACACACCGCCCGUCACACCACACCGAGUUGGGGGUACCCGAAGUCGCUCGUCUAACCGUUAUCGGGGGCCGCUGCCGAAGUAUGCCUGUAAGGGGG
rnacentral:rRNA from 1 species